ACGAACGCUGGCGGCGUGCUUAACACAUGCAAGUCGAACGGAAAGGCCCUGCUUUUGUGGGGUGCUCGAGUGGCGAACGGGUGAGUAACACGUGAGUAACCUGCCCUUGACUUUGGGAUAACUUCAGGAAACUGGGGCUAAUACCGGAUAGGAGCUCCUGCUGCAUGGUGGGGGUUGGAAAGUUUCGGCGGUUGGGGAUGGACUCGCGGCUUAUCAGCUUGUUGGUGGGGUAGUGGCUUACCAAGGCUUUGACGGGUAGCCGGCCUGAGAGGGUGACCGGCGACAUUGGGACUGAGAGACGGCCCAGACGCCUACGGGAGGCAGCAGUGGGGAAUAUUGCACAAUGGGCGGAAGCCUGAUGCAGCAACGCCGCGUGCGGGAUGACGGCCUUCGGGUUGUAAACCGCUUUCGCCUGUGACGAAGCGUGAGUGACGGUAAUGGGUAAAGAAGCACCGGCUAACUACGUG
rnacentral:rRNA from 1 species